AACGAACGCUGGCGGCGUGGAUUAGGCAUGCAAGUCGAACGGGACUUUAUGUUGUAGCUAAUACUUAUAAAGUCUAGUGGCGUAAGGGUGAGUAACACGUGGGUAACGUACCCGAUAGUUUGGGAUAACGUCCGAAAGGGACGCUAAUACCGGAUGUGAUGUUAAAACGCUGGUUUUAACAAGAAAGGUGGGGACCGCAAGGCCUGCCGCUAACGGAACGGCCCGCGACCUAUUAGCUAGUUGGUGGGGUAAAGGCCUACCAAGGCGAGGAUGGGUAGCCGAACUGAGAGGUUGACCGGCCACACUGGGACUGAGACACUGCCCAGACUUCUACGGAAGGCUGCAGUCGAGAAUCAUUCACAAUGGACGAGAGUCUGAUGAUGCGACGCCGCGUGCGCGAUGAAGGUCUUCGGAUUGUAAAGCGCUUUGAACAGGGAAGAAUGCCGCGUAUUUAAUAGAUAACGCGGAGGGACAGUACCUGACAAACAAGCCCCGGCUAAUUUCGUGCCAGCAGCUGC
rnacentral:rRNA from 1 species